GCCAGUUAGACUGUCUGCCAUGGAGCAGGCGGAGCCAAUUGCAGUCAGUCUGCCAGGGAGCAGGCGGAGCCAAUUACAGUCAGUCGGACAGGUAGCAGGCGGAGCCAGUUACAGUCAGUCGGUCAGGUAGCAGGCGGAGCCAGUUACAGUCAGUCGGUCAGGUAGCAGGCGGAGCCAGUUACAAUCAGUCGGUCAGGUAGCAGGCGGAGCCAAUUGCAGUCAGUCUGCCAGGGAGCAGGCGGAGCCAAUUACAGUCAGUCGGUCAGGUAGCAGGCGGAGCCAGUUACAGUCAGUCGGUCAGGUAGCAGGCGGAGCCAGUUACAGUCGGUCAGGUAGUAGGCGGAGCCAGUUAUAGUCAGUCGGUCAGGUAGCAGGCGGAGCCAGUUACAGUGAAUCGGUCAGGUAGUAGGCGGAGCCAGUUACAGUCAGUCGGUCAGGUAGCAGGCGUAGCCAAUUACAGUCAGUCUGCCAGGGAGCAGGCGAAGCCAGUUAUAGUCAGUCUGCCAAGGAGCAGGUGGAGCCAGUUAUAGUCAGUCGGUCAGGUAGCAGG